rnacentral:lncRNA from 1 species
ACACAGGAAAGAUGAAAACAGUAUGAAAAUAUCCAUGUACCGAACCGUAUUGUUUAGAAAUCUUUAACCGAGGUGGACAAAAAGCUUUAACCGAAACCCUUUUUACAACCGCCUCAAUUGAAAGAUCAUGAUUAAUCAUGGCCUUUAAUCAAAUAAAAAACAAAAACCCCAUAGCCAACAAGUCCAUCCACAGACCCACC